UGCCCAGUGACUCUGUUCAACGGCCGCGGUAUCCUAACCGUGCGAAGGUAGCGUAAUCACUUGUUCUUUAAAUGAGGACUAGUAUGAAUGGCACUACGAGGGUUAUACUGUCUCCUUUUUCUAAUCAGUGAAAUUAAUUUUCCCGUGAAGAAGCGGGAAUAUAACUAUAAGACGAGAAGACCCUAUGGAGCUUUAAACAACCCAGCAAUUACUCUAAAAAUUUUAAAUUUCAGAAUAUUCAUUUUUUUAAGUAAUAUGUCUGCAAGUUUUUGGUUGGGGUGACCAUGGAGAAUAACUUAACCUCCAUAUUGAAUGAACUCCAUUCUAAGCUGAAAAUUACCAAUUAAAGCAUCAACACACUGACAUUUAUUGACCCAAUAUAUUUGAUCAACGAACCAAGUUACCCUAGGGAUAACAGCGCAAUCCACUUCAAGAGCCCCUAUCGACAAGUGGGUUUACGACCUCGAUGUUGGAUCAGGGUAUCCCAGUGGCGCAGCC
rnacentral:rRNA from 1 species